UAUCACUCAUAAGGAGAAGUUAAUAAUACCUAGUAUCUUUUUGAAAUUAAGGGAGUAGUAUAUGUAGAUAGAUUUAUGCUUAGUCAUAGCCGCAACAAACUCUGGUAGUUGUUAUCUCAAUGCUGGAGUUACACAGUGCAGUUGGCCCGCUGCGGCCACGACUGCCAGCCUUCACCAACGCGCGCUGCACGCGGUGCGGUAUAGGAGGUCUGCCUGGACCUGCUCCACGGUGCGGGUUAUCUCAUACCGGUGCGGUAUGAGAUAACCCGACGGCGUGUAGCCGUGAACUACGCUCGUAGAAACUGUGGAGACAUGCUGGUUCCUGUCGAAUAUAAGGGGGUGAGCAAAUGGGUCAGGGUACCAAAGGUGGAGGAGGUCUUCAGUUUCUCUGAAUUUUUACAAGGAGUGCUGGCAAAAUUCAAUUUGUCAGGUUUUACUGCUUUGAUGCUCAAGGAUUCUGCAGGAGUUGAAGUGGAUUCUGACAUCUUUGAUGAGCUUUUGAAGUCAUCUCAGGUGUCCUUCAAGGCCUGCACUGAAGAUUGCAAUGACAACAGUGUUGGAGAGUCUUCAGAGGGCUCAUCCUUAUCUGAUUGGUCACCAUCACGUGCAUCCCAUGGGGCAUCUUCAAGCUCAGACUCAACAAUUAUAGCUCGAAGAAAACGGCUGAUUGAAGGACCCCCUGACAGCAGCAAUGCUCGCGAUUGACCAAAAUAAUCACAGAAUACGAGAAAACAAAGAGUCUGUCGGAUGGUACAAGAAGAAGGAUGAUCAACAUACUUGUGGCUGACAUGGUAGAGAGCCAUGGGAGGAUCCCUCCAGUAAAUAUCCGCAGUACGCACGCACUUGGCAUUACAACCUUGUUCCCAAAUUUGAGUUGAUGGGCAAUAGUGGAGGUUUUACUUGGUACAUCAGCUGUAAUUCCUCUGUAUUUACCUUCUUAUUACCAGUGGUAAUUACACAGUAAUACACUAUAAUUUACCGGAUAAUUUCUCUGUAUUUACCUUCUUAUUACCAGUGGUAAUUACCCAGUAAUACACUAUGAUUUACCAUGUAUUUACCGGGUAACUACCUCUGUAUUUACCUUCUUAUUAACAGUGGUAAUUACCCAGUAAUACACUAUGAUUUACCGGGUAACUACCUCUGUAUUUACCUUCUUAUUACCAGUGGUAAUUACCCAGUAAUACACUAUAAUUUAAUAACACCCGUAGUUUUGCUGUGUAGAGGAAUGUAGAGCUGGGUGUCAUCCGCGUAGCAAUGGAAACUAAUUCCGAAGCUGCGGAUAACGUCGCCCAGGGGAAGCAUGUAGAUUGCAAAAAGUAAUGGACCAAGGACCGACCCUUGUGGUACGCCAAAGCGUAAUUUACAGUGCUUUGAUUCUGAACCCUCAUGAAGCACAAAUUGGGUUCUAUCUGUUAGGUACGAUUCAAGCCAACCAAGAGCCGUACCCCCGAAACCAACAUAGUGCUCAAGACGGUGAAGAAGAGUGCUGUGGUCGAUCGUAUCGAACGCAGCGCUCAGGUCCAGCAGCACAAGCAUUGAGCUUGUAUUUUUAUCCAAAGCAAGAAGGAUGUCAUUUACAACUCUUGUAAUAGCAGUUUCAGUUGAGUGGA